rnacentral:rRNA from 1 species
UACGAAGGGGGCUAGCGUUGUUCGGAAUUACUGGGCGUAAAGCGCACGUAGGCGGAUCUUUAAGUCAGAGGUGAAAUCCUGGGGCUCAACUCCGGAACUGCCUUUAAGACUGCAUCGCUAGAAUUGUGGAGAGGUAAGUGGAAUUCCGAGUGUAGAGGUGAAAUUCGUAGAUAUUCGGAAGAACACCAGUGGCGAAGGCGACUUACUGGACACAUAUUGACGCUGAGGUGCGAAAGCGUGGGGAGCAAACAGG